GUGCUCGCUUCAGCAGCACAUAUACUAAAAUUGGAACGAUACAGAGAAGAUUAGCAUGGCCCCUGAGCAAGGGAAGGUUUAUGCCAUGGAAAUUGAUAAAUGCUCU